rnacentral:rRNA from 1 species
AGCAGCCGCGGUAAUUCCAGCUCCAAUAGCGUAUAUUAAAGUUGUUGCAGUUAAAAAGCUCGUAGUUGAAUUUCGGGGUUAGCAGGUCGGUCGUGCCUUUGGUAUGAACUGGUCUCGCUGAUCCCUCCCUCUUGACGAACUGUGAUGCCAUUAAUUUGGUGUCGCAGGGAAUCAGGACUGUUACUUUGAAAAAAUUAGAGUGUUUAAAGCAGGCUUUCGCUUGAAUACAUUAGCAUGGAAUAAUGAAAUAGGACGUUUGAUCCUAUUUUGUUGGUUUCUAGGAUUGACGUAAUGAUUAAUAGGGAUAGUUGGGGGCAUUAGUAUUCAAUUGUCAGAGGUGAAAUUCUUGGAUUUAUUGAAGACUAACUACUGCGAAAGCAUUUGCCAAGGAUGUUUUCAUUAAUCAAGAACGAAAGUUAGGGGAUCGAAGACGAUCAGAUACCGUCGUAGUCUUAACCAUAAACUAUGCCGACUAGGGAUCGGAUGAUGUUAAUUUUUUAAUGACUCA